GAUGAACGCUGGCGGCGUGCUUAACACAUGCAAGUCGAACGCUCUCGUCUUUCGGGACGAGGGAGUGGCGGACGGGUGAGGAACACGUGGGUUAUCUACCAUGAGGUGAGGAAUACCGGUGAGAAAUCAUCGACAAGACCGCAUAGGCUUGGCAACAAGCAAAGCUGCGCAAGCAGCGCCUCAUGAUGAGCCCGCGGCCGAUUAGCUCGUUGGUGCGGUAAUGGCCCACCAAGGCAACGAUCGGUAGCUGGUCUGAGAGGAUGAUCAGCCACACUGGGAUUGAGAACGGCCCAGACUCCUACGGGAGGCAGCAGUGAGGAAUUUUCGGCAAUGGGCGACAGCCUGACCGAGCAACGCCGCGUGCAGGAGGACGGUUUUCGGAUCGUAAACUGCUUUUCUCUGGGACGAGUACGGACGGUACCAGAGGAAUAAGCCCCGGCUAACUACGUGCCAGCAGCCGCCGUAAUAC
rnacentral:rRNA from 1 species